UGUAUGUCAGUGUGUGUGUGUGUGUGUGUGUCAGUAUGUCUGUGUGUGUAUGCCAGUAUGUCUGUGUGUAUGCCAGUAUGUCUGUGUGUGUGUGUGUCAGUAUGUCUGUGUGUGUGUGUGUCAGUAUGUCUGUGUGUGUGUGUGUCAGUAUGUCUGUGUGUGUGUGUGUCAGUAUGUCUGUGUGUAUGCCAGUAUGUCUGUGUGUAUGCCAGUAUGUCUGUGUGUAUGCCAGUAUGUCUGUGUGUGUGUCAGUAUGUCUGUGUGUAUGCCAGUAUGUCUGUGUGUGUAUGUGUGUGUGUCAGUAUGUCUGUGUGUGUAUGCCAGUAUGUCUGUGUGUGUGUAUGCCAGUAUGUCUGUGUGUGUAUGUCAGAGUGUGUGUGUCAGUAUGUCUGUGUGUAUGCCAGUAUGUCUGUGUGUGUGUAUGUAGGUAUGUCUCUGUGUGUGUGUGUGUACGUGUGUGUCAGUAUGUCUGCCAGGAUAUAUUUGUGUGUCAGUGUAUGUGUGUGUCAG